CUUAAACCCUAGAGGUAAUGAUGCCCUAGACACAUCACUAGAGGUAAUGAUGCCCUAGACACAUCACUAGAGGUAAUGAUGCCCUAGACACAUCACUAGAGGUAAUGAUGCCCUAGACACAUCACUAGAGGUAAUGAUGCCCUGGACACAUCACUAGAGGUAAUGAUGCCCUAGACACAUCACUAGAGGUAAUGAUGCCCUGGACA